AGUUGGGUGAUUUGUGAAGAACAAAGAGUCAGUGCUCUGAGAGCUGCCCAUGAGAAACACCAAGCAGGCGCUGUGCUGUUGAUGCCACCAAGGCCACUCACCUGAGGACAGGUUCAGCCUGGAGCCUCUCAGAACCUGAGAAAAAAGGCAAACUCGAUUCUUGAACCUGCUGAAAGAAGUCCCAGACUGUUUGGAUGGUGGGGAUCAUCGGGCUGUGCUCAGCAGGGAGCUCUGAUUCAUCAGCACCAGGGUUUCCCCUCAGCUCUCUGCCUACAUCUUCUGCUCAGCUUGGCAGGGACAUUGUCAGAGAAUAAAAGGCUUCUUCCUCGUGUCAAAGGGCUGGCAUUCAUCAAAAUGAUAAUACUUUUUACCUAGAGCACCUUUUAGAUGAGGUUCAUGAAGCCUGUAAAGAUGAUGAUAAAGAGA